CGUUUUAAUCCCUCCGGAGGAAAGAGGGGCUCGGGAUUUGGGGGGCCGCCCUUUUCGAAGUCGUCUCCUCGAGGGAGGGAUACCUGGGAGCACUCUCUCCAGUUUGGGAAGCAGUGGGACCUAGCCACGACACCCCUCAAUGUUACAGUGCAAUCUUGCGUCUUCCACCUGGGAUGUAAAUCCUGUUUUGCUGAAAAGGCAUAGUAUUUAGUAAACAUUUUCCGGAUCUUAUUCUGAGAUGAGCUCAUGGAACUGGCUUCAUGCCCUUAUCGUCUCUUCCACAGGGGCCGGAAGGAUGCCAGUUCCAAGGACUCCUUCAUUUCUUCCUGGCGAUGAAGUGGAACCAGACGAGGGUCCGGUGACCUUUGAGGAGGUGGCCGUGUUCUUCACC